AGCAGCUCAUUAGGGUAGCAGCAAAGUGGAUCAAUGUACCGUCUGUGUUGCACUUAUGAAAGAGCAAAGAACAAAUGAAUCUACCUCGGGGAAGAGCUGCAGCUUCUACCAUUACUGAUGUAUUUAUUGUUGAUAACAACUCCUCCAAGAAAAUAUACCAACAUCAAUUGAA